rnacentral:rRNA from 1 species
UGGGGAAUAUUGCACAAUGGGCGCAAGCCUGAUGCAGCCAUGCCGCGAGUAUGAAGAAGGCCUUCGGGUUGUAAAGUACUUUCAGCGGGGAGGAAGGGAGUAAAGUUAAUACCUUUGCUCAUUGACGUUACCCGCAGAAGAAGCACCGGCUAACUUCGUGCCAGCAGCCGCGGUAAUACGGAGGGUGCAAGCGUUAAUCGGAAUUACUGGGCGUAAAGCGCACGCAGGCGGUUUGUUAAGUCAGAUGUGAAAUCCCCGGGCUCAACCUGGGAACUGCAUCUGAUACUGGCAAGCUUGAGUCUCGUAGAGGGGUGUAGAAUUCCAGGUGUAGCGUUGAAAUGCGUAGAGAUCUGGAGGAAUACCGGUGGCGAAGGCGGCCCCCUGGACGAAGACUGACGCUCAGGUGCGAAAGCGUGGGGAGCAAACAGG